rnacentral:rRNA from 1 species
CACGUAGGGGGCGAGCGUUGUCCGGAUUUAUUGGGCGUAAAGAGCUCGUAGGCGGUUUGGCAAGUCGGGUGUGAAAUUUCGAGGCUCAACCUCGAGACGCCACUCGAUACUGCCAUGACUGGAGUCCGGUAGAGGAGUGCGGAAUUCCUGGUGUAGCGGUGAAAUGCGCAGAUAUCAGGAGGAACACCAACGGCGAAGGC